rnacentral:rRNA from 1 species
GUGCUUGGGCGAGAGUAGUACUAGGAUGGGUGACCUCCUUGGAAGUCCUCGUGUUGCACCCC